AAUAGAUACCCUGGUAGUCCAUGCCGUAAACGUUGGGCACUAGGUGUGGGGCUCAUUCCACGAGUUCCGUGCCGCAGCAAACGCAUUAAGUGCCCCGCCUGGGGAGUGCGGCCGCAAGGCUAAAACUCAAAGGAAUUGACGGGGGCCCGCACAAGCGGCGGAGCAUGCGGAUUAAUUCGAUGCAACGCGAAGAACCUUACCAAGGCUUGACAUGCACGGGAAGCCACCAGAGAUGGUGGUCUCUUUGGACACUCGUGCACAGGUGGUGCAUGGUUGUCGUCAGCUCGUGUCGUGAGAUGUUGGGUUAAGUCCCGCAACGAGCGCAACCCUCGUCCCAUGUCGCCAGCGGGUUAUGCCGGGGACUCAUGGGAGACUGCCGGGGUCAACUCGGAGGAAGGUGGGGAUGACGUCAAAUCAUCAUGCCCCUUAUGUCUUGGGCUUCACGCAUGCUACAAUGGCCGGUACAAAGGGCUGCGAUACCGUAAGGUGGAGCGAAUCCCAAAAAGCCGGUCUCAGUUCGGAGUU
rnacentral:rRNA from 1 species